rnacentral:lncRNA from 1 species
CUAUUCAAUCAUCAGUGAUUAUCUCGAUACUGCAAUUAUGUCACUGAUCUUUUGAUAUAAAAUGGUACUAUUGCUCGCAGUAAGGCUACUGAAGUUUGACUGACACAUAAACAUGGGUCUCAAUGAGCCCUUGUAGUGGAUGUUGGUAAUAGUUAGUCUACUGUAGGAGUAGGAUGUGCAUCAAGAUGGGAUCUAUCGAUUUUGAUAGAGAGAAGUAAUCCUAUAAGAUUUGAGAGGCUAAGUCUGAGAGUCUAUGGCCAUAACAAUAUGAUUGAUGGAAAGAAGUUUUCAUAGAAAUCAUAAUUGAACUUGAGCUGAUCGAAUCUAUCAUAUGACUGAUGUUGAGGUUUGACGAUUUAUCCAUGACCUGCCAUCUAGUAGAGACUUAAGAUAGAGGUACUGAAUCACAUGUUAACUACAUCUAGAGGUUUAUUUUGAUUCUACUAGGUUGCCAUUACAUACUGGUAAGUGUCAC